CUAUACCUUAGUCAUGUUAAGCGUUAACUCUCAAGAGAGAGAAGGAAGAGACAAGAAGUUAAAGUCUCAAUAGCUGUAAGGGAGGGACCAAAAACCUCCAUUAAAUAGUAGCUAAAAACAUGCAUGACUAUCUCUAGUGUAUCAAAAAAAAAAAAAAGAAGCUUAAGCUCUUUUCCUUUCCUAUAUAUAAGCUUAAUAGUUUUCCAGCAAAGGCAAAAAAAAAAAAAGAACCCUAAUUCAAUAUUUCGGUUCAUCUCUUGUUAUUGUCUUUCUGGUAUAUAUAUAUAUGUUGGUUUGAGAGGUUGAAGCUGCCAGCAUGAUCUGGUGAUUAACCUAGCUAUCACUUUUUCUUUUUUCCUCCCUUUUUAAGUAUUUUUUUUCGACCUCUUUAGUGGUAUAUAUGCAGAUUGAAAGACCAGUUUUGGAUUAAAUUUCUUGAGUUAUUUUCAGGGUUUAGUUAGAUAUGUCUUAAUGGGGGAAACCCUGCUUGAACUUUAUAGCUUCAUAGGUAUGGUUUCAACAUCAGAUCAUCUUGCAGCUUCAAUCACUCACUCACCAACAAAAGACAACUCUUUUUUAUCUAGCUAUUUAUGGAUACAUUUGUGAUUUUGGCUCCACCUUCAUUCCAGAGCCCAUCAAUGGUUUAUUCCCAUACCUAUCAUCAGUUUGGGCUGCAGGAUUAAAGCUCCAAAGCAGGUUUAUUUGCUAUGUCUUUCAAUUCAAUGAUAAGUUUUAGAUUUGUGUCCAAACGAGUUUUAAUUUGAUUUGUAUGAAUAUUAUUACCAAUGGAAAAGGACGUGGGUUUAAGCAUAUUGUAGUAGUGCAUUAUCCUCCUAUUUAUGGAUUGAGAAUGAGCUAUGUGUAAUUUUAA